rnacentral:sRNA from 1 species
GCUUGUACCAGGCUGUGGCAAUCUGUGGUGAAGUUGAAAUGCUUUUCUGCUAGACUGGCAACACGUUUUGAUUCUUCUCAAAUAACUUACAAGCUCUUGUGAAGCACAACGGCCUACCUUGUCUUGAAGAAAACAUACUCUAAGGCCCACAGAUGAUUAAACCCAGCAAUGUAUGUGACAAUAGCAUUUUUAUUUUUCUUAUCAAGAUGUGAGUAUUUGAUCCACACAAUGGUAAAGAUUCCCAAGUUAGCCAAGAUCUAAAUUAUUCAAAUUGAUGAUACUCUGCAGAAGAGACGACCAUAAACGCAGCCCCUGUGAUGCAAACUGGAGAUAUUAUGGAGAUAGCUGCUAUGGGUUCUUCAAACACAACUUGACAUGGAAAGAGAGUGAGCAGUACUGCACUGACAUGAAUGCUACUCUCCUGAAGAUUGACAACCAGAACAUUCUGUGGAUAGAAGUCAAGGACUCCAAUGUCACAAGAUGAAAGAAUCCCAAGUCUCAUUUGGAGGAAUGCUAUCACUAACUAGGAUUCCUGGAGCUAAAACAUUACGUAAGACACAAACUUUUAUUGUGUUAAGUUACUGAUAUUUUGAGGUUUAUUUAUCACAGUAAGUAGCAUUACACUAACAGAUAUACAGUGUGUAAAUUUAUUUUAAGGUUGAAAUCCCUUCCUAGCUUUGUUGUUUAAGGCUACCCAGUGAUCUCCCACCCUUUACACCGUGGUUUGCCCAAUGUGAGUUAUCUUUAUAUCUUCACUAUCUACGUCACCCCAUGCUUCAUCUCCUAUACCAAAUGCAAGUGCGUUCUUUGCACUUACAUCUCUUUCUUCCGAACUCACUGCUAUCACCUUCAACAUCUGCUACAUUUUGGAAACCAGAUAAAAAAUGUUCUAUCAUUGGCCAUUCUAAAUUCAGUUCUCUCUCAUUUCCUUUUUCACCAAGUUGUGUUUUGGCUUAGACUUCAUAAACUUCCACUUUCUGAAUGAAGGUGCAUCUAUUCUACUCCUUAAACACAAAUAUAUUUUCCCACUACUGUGAAAAUGUAACCAAUUUCAGUUCUCACACCAACCUGCUCCAAACCACAAGAGGAGUUAUUUGUUCCAGCCUCCUGUGUGGACUGCUUUCCUAUCAAAGCACCUCAGACAUGCAUGAGGAAGAAAUGUACAGCUCUCUUCAGUGGGAUAGCCCAGCACCAGACACUUACCAGAAAUGUCUGUCUUCCAACAAAUGUUCGGGUAACCAGUUCUAACUAUUUUGUGUGAGACUUUAGAGUUCAUGGUUUUGUUUUUUUU